GACGAACGCUGGCGGCGUGCCUAAUACAUGCAAGUAGAACGCUGAAGAGAGGAGCUUGCUCUUCUUGGAUGAGUUGCGCACGGGUGAGUAACGCGUAGGUAACCUGCCUGGUAGCGGGGGAUAACUAUUGGAAACGAUAGCUAAUACCGCAUAAAAUGGAUUAUCGCAUGAUAAUCCAUUGAAAGGUGCAAAUGCAUCACUACCAGAUGGACCUGCGUUGUAUUAGCUAGUUGGUGGGGUAACGGCUCACCAAGGGGAGGAUACAGAGCCGACCUGAGAGGGUGGGCGGCCAGACUGGGACGGAGACACGGCCCAGACUGCUACGGGAGGCAGCAGUAGGGAAUCGGCGGCAAUGGAUGGAAGUCUGACCGAGCAACGCCGCGUGAGUGAAGAAGGUUUUCGGAUCGUAAAGCUCUGUUGUAAGAGAAGAACGAGUGUGAGAGUGGAAAGUUCACACUGUGACGGUAUCUUACCAGAAAGGGACGGCUAACUACGUG
rnacentral:rRNA from 1 species